rnacentral:pre_miRNA from 1 species
AAAAAGACAAACCCUGGUUUCCGUGCCCAACGUUUGACCGUCCGUCUUAUUUAAAAAAAUUACGAAAAAAAUUAAAAAGACAAGUCACACAUAAAAUAUUAAUCAUGUUUUAUCAUCUAACAACAAUAAAAAUACGAAUUAUAAAAAAAUUUCAUAUAAGACAGACAGUCAAAGUUGGACACGAAAACUCAGGGUUUGCCUUUUU